rnacentral:rRNA from 2 species
GAAACUUUAACAGAACCCUUCGGGGCGAAGAUAAAGUGGAUUAGCGGCGGACGGGUGAGUAACACGUGAGUAACCUGCCUUAGACAUUGGGAUAGCCUCGGGAAACCGGGAUUAAUACCAAAUAAAAUCAUAAUGACACAUGUCAUAACGAUCAAAACUCCGGUGGUCUAAGAUGGACUCGCGUCCCAUUAGCUAGUUGGUAGAGUAAAAGCCUACCAAGGCGACGAUGGGUAGCCGGCCUGAGAGGGUGAACGGCCACAUUGGAACUGAGAAACGGUCCAAACUUCUACGGGAGGCAGCAGUGGGGAAUAUUGCACAAUGGAGGGAACUCUGAUGCAGCGACGCCGCGUGAACGAAGAAGGCUUUCGAGUCGUAAAGUUCUUUUAUAUGGGAAGAUAAUGACGGUACCAUAAGAAAAAGCCCCGGCUAACUACGUGCCAGCAGCCGCGGUAAUACGUAGGGGGCUAGCGUUGUCCGGAAUCACUGGGCGUAAAGGGUUCGCAGGCGGAAAUGCAAGUCAGAUGUAAAAGGCAGUAGCUUAACUACUGUAAGCAUUUGAAACUGCAUAUCUUGAGAAGAGUAGAGGUAAGUGGAUUUUUAGUGUAGCGGUGAAAUGCGUAGAUAUUAAAAAGAAUACCGGUGGCGAAGGCGACUUACUGGG